UCCUAAUGCUUAGUUGAAAUCUGCUUCCUUGCAAUUUCCAUCCUCUGGAGCAACAGAGAACAUGUCUACUCCAGCUUCUGUGUGAUAGCCCUCCAGGUAUUUGAAAACUGCUAUCAUGUCUCCCCUUAAUCUUCUCCAGACAAAAUACACCCAGCCUUCUC